CCACACAGAACAGUAAACUCCCCACUUUCAUAUUUCCAGGCCCCCUAGCCUCUAACUCAAGGAGUUCUCCACCCCUGGUUCCUGUCUCACUCAGGAACCUUGCGAUCAACUUCCAAAAUAAUCCAGUGGAUUGUGCCUCUGUCCCCUCGUGGCUUCCCGAAGGGGUGCUCUCCUUUGGUUGUGUCCCUUCAGAGUCAGCCUUCAUUGGCCCUGCCUUGAAAAACCUUACCAGCAAGGAAGCUUCAAUGCUGAAAGACAUCUAUCACAGGCAAGACUCUCUAGCCAGCUUUGCGUUGCUGCUCUUCGUUGAUGUCCUUGGCAAUUGCACAGUCCAAAUUGAAGUGGUGAAGGUCAGUCACAUGUUCCAAUUUUGCUGCCCUUCCUUUCCACUGACUUCUCUUCUUCUCCAGCCGUGGUUCUCAGAUUUCCCCGCAUAAUAAUAGAAUCAUAGAGUUGGAAGGGACCCCAAGGGUCAUCUAGUCCAACCCCCCCAAUGCAAGAAUCUCAACUAAAGCAUCCAUAACAGAUGACCAUCCAGCCUCUGCUUAAAAACCUUCAAGGAACGAGAGUCCACCACCUUCUGAGGCAGUAUGUUACGCUGUCCAACAGCUCUUACCAUCAUAAAGUUUUUUCCUGAAGUUUAGUUGGAAUCUCCUUUCUUAUAACUUGAAGCCAUUGGUUCUAAUCCUAGCCUCUGGAGCAGGAGAAAACAAAUUUGCUCCACCUUCCAUGUGACAGCCCUUUAGAUAUUUGAAGAUGGCUAUCGUAUCUCCACUCGGUCUCCUCUUUCCCAAGCUAAACACACCCAGUUUCCUCAACCAUUCCUCAAGGGGCUUGCUUUCAAGACUCUUUAUCAUCUUGUCCACCCUCCUCUGCACAUUCUAAUCCAGAUGUGAUCUGACCAAGGCAGAAUAGAGCAGUACAACCCCUCUUGAUCUAGACACUAUUUCUGUUGAUGCAGCUUGGAAUAGCAUUAGCUUUUUUUUGCUGCUGCAUCACCCUGUUAACUCAUGUUGAGCUUGUGGUCUACUAAGACCCUAGAUUAUUUUCACAUGUAAACCAGGUGUACCCCAUCUUAUAUUUGUGCAGCUAGUUAUUCCUGCCUAAGUGAAGAACCUGACAUUUAUCUCUCUUGAAAUCCAUUUUGUUAGUUUUUGACCACUUUUCCAAUUUGUGAAGGUCAUAUUGAAUACUGAUUCUGUCUUCUGUGGCAUUAGCUACCCCUCCCAAAUUUGAUGAGCGUCCCCUCAAUACCUUCAUCCAAGCCAUUUAUAAGGACACUGAAAAACAACAAGCCCUGGACAGAACCCUGCAGCACCCCACUUGUCAUGUUUUUCCCAGGAUAACAAGGAAACAUUAGUGAGCACUCUUUGGCUUCAGUCAGUCAACCAACUACAAAUCCACCUAACAGUUACCUUGUCCAGCCCACAUUUUACCAAUAUAUUCUCUGCAAGAAUAUCAUGGGGACUUUGUCAAAAGAUCAAGAUAUACUAUGUCCACAGCAUUCCCUUGAUCCACCAGGCUUAUAACUCUACUAAGCAAAGAAAUGAGAUGAUGUUCUAUAAGCAAUUAGAAGUAUUCUAUAAGGUGUAGACAGCAGUCAUGAAAUUAAAAGACGCUUGCUUCUUGGGAGAAAAACAAUGACAAACCUAGACAGCAUCUUAAAAAGCAGAGACAUCACCUUGCCGACAAAGGUCCGUACUGUUAAAGCUAUGGUUUUCCCAGUAGUAAUGUAUGGAAGUGAGAGCUGGACCAUAAAGAAGGCUGAUCGCUGAAGAAUUGAUGCUUUUGAAUUAUGGUGCUGGAAGAAACUCUUGAAAGUCCCAUGGACUGCAAGAGGAUCAAACCUAUCCAUUCUGAAGGAAACCAGCCCUGAGUGCUCACUGGAAGGACAGAUCCUGAAACUGAGGCUCCAAUUCUUUGGCCACAUCAUGAGAAGAGAAGACUCCCUGGAAAAGACCCUGAUGCUGGGAAAGAUUGAGGGCACAAGGAGAAGGGGAUGACAGAGUACGAGAUUGUUGGACAGUCUCGAAGCUGCGAACAUGAGUUUGACCAAACUGUGGGAGGCAGUGGAAGACAGGAGUGCCUGGCGUGCUCUGGUCGAUGGGAUCACAAAGAGUCGGACACGACUAAACAACAACAACAAAAUAAGGUGUAGAAUACUAUGCCCACCUGAAGGAAAGACAUGUAGACUGUACAACAAAUAUGUUUACAUAUUAUGAGGACAAAGAUUGUACAUGAAGACACUUUAUUAGGAGGAGUUCCACAAAUGUUAUCAGGGAGAGGGGAAUUAAGCUAGCAUACCCACAAGUGAUAGCAAAGAACAUGUCAUGGGUAAAUAAAUGGACAUCCAUUCCAAAGGAGCUGAAUUUCAUAAGGGCCCUCAAUUCCUCUAUUUAUUUUCCAUUUUUGCGUAUUCUGUGGCCAUAGCGACCUGUGGCCCUCCAGAUCUUGUUGGAUUGCAAAUCCUAUCAGCCAUAGUCAGCACUGCCACUCCUGAUAUAAACCCUCUAUGAAACCGAUUCCCACUUGUGGCUUGCUCCCACCCAUCACAUUCAUAAGGCACUAUUGCUUAGAAAAGUGCUUAGAAAGCACGUCCCUGUGACUUGUCCCCCUUUUGUCAGUCCAGGCACUGCUUUUCUCCAUCUCCAAGAAAGGGAGAAUAAACGAGCACAGUGUUUAAUGAUUUAAUGAAGAUAGUUUAUAAGAUACUGGUAAUCUAUUCCUAUUUUUGCUCUUUUUUGAGGCAUAUCCUUCUCUUCGAAUUCAUUAACUUAGGUAGCUUUCCAUAGAUGUUGGCAAGGAUGAUGACUUAUAGUGGUUCAAAUUCUCAUUUCUGAUCCAAGGCAAGUUUCUCACAUUGCCAUUUACAUCUUAUGCAGACUUUAUUAGGACCAGACUUUUUAAAAACUAAUUUUCAAAACGGAGACAUGCUGACCCACUCUGCACAUGCUUCAUACAGCAUAUGGCUGAAGUAAAGAACAUCAUCUCUUUUGUUCAACGGUGAGGGUUUUAGAAAAGAGAGAAAAAAUCCUUCUGGUCCUUUUACUUUCCUGGCCUUCAAAUAAAGCUAAUUACAAAGGGGGGAAAAGUUGGAACUGGUGGAGAGUGAUCAUUUAAAGCCAUUUCUUUUGCAGAAUGGAACAAAAAGAAGUACUGAGGGCAUGGAUAGGCCCUGGAAAAAAAGAAAAGAGAAAAACCAUCUAAUGAGGAUGUUGAGAUAAGUGCUUGUGAAGAAAACUGGCAAAAAAAGAGCUUUUAGUCUAAAAUCCAUAAAUAAGUGGGCAUCAGAUGGGUACUAGAACAUUUAUAAUAAGAGAGGCCACCAAGCUGUAUCCUUCAAUGCAAGAGCUGCAACCUUAGAAAUCUUAUUUCUUAACAAGCUACUUUCUCCCCUUUUCAAAUAUUAAUUUUUAAAAAAGAAAUACUUGAAAAUUAAGGAGUUUUAUUCAUGUCUUUGAAUCCAUUAUAGAGGCAGGCACCAUCAGUAGGUCUGCUUAAAUUUAUAAUUAUGACAGCUGGCCGGCUCCUAUCUCUCUAUGCAUGGAGAAGUUCUAAGUGGUUUGGACCUCUGAUCUCUUUGGCGACCUUGAAACAUGGAUGAAAUAUGCGCUAGAGGUGUACAGUUUUAGCAAGAAGAGUCACACGCAGUCUCCUCUUACAGGCUGCUGCUCCCACCCUUGGCCCUGAAUCACUGGGGGCUCAGAUCCUCUUGGUAUACAAAGAUGUGUACAGGCCAGAUAUUUGAGGCUCAGUCUAAUUAUCCGAGAAGGACUUUGUCCUCACGCAUUGUCUGAUUCAGCAUUUAAUGCUGCUCUUGUAGGGCAUGAAAGAAAAGGG